AAAACAAAGCAAAAAUCCUGUAAAAGUGACAGAGCUGGGGGGAGUUUAGGAAGGUACCUGUGGAAAAACUAGUCCUUGACAUCAGAACAUUGAGUAUUUAUCUCACUUCCCAUCCCUGCCUCUCAUGCAGACUACUUCCAAAUAACUGUCUAUCUCCCUUCAUUAUAAAAUUGUAGAAUUAGAUCAAGGAGUAAAUGAAUUGAGAAAAGCUCUAAAAUUAAAUCUCAUUAUAUUGGUUGCAGACCCAGCAGCAUAGAAUUUGGCACAUGUUUAUUAGACUUACCAAGUUAACUUUGCAGAGAAGUAAAUGAAAAAUAUAAGAAAGGACAGCUCGACUCCCAUGCACACAGAGCAGAGUUACUCUGCUGCCUGUUUUGUUGAAGUCAGACUGGUGGAGGACUCAGAGGGGUCUCUGCAUCGCUCUGUGCGAGCAGGGACGGGCCUGAUUCUCCUGCAGGUGCUCCUCCCCAGCCUGGCUAGGGCCAAGCCUCCCUGUGCUGGCUCCAGCCUCCAGCCACUCCUAGAACUUUGAUUUGUGAGAAGAGGAAAGGGAUCGUAACCUCAGAACGGUCUCUAGUCAUAAAGCAGGCCCUGUUCAAUUUCUCUU
rnacentral:lncRNA from 1 species